GGGCGGUUAGCUCAGUUGGUAGAGCAUUGUCUUGACGUGACAAGGGUCAGAGGUUCGAAUCCUCUACCGCCCA
rnacentral:tRNA from 1 species